AUUGAACGCUGGCGGCAGGCCUAACACAUGCAAGUCGAGCGGAGUGGCGGACGGGUGAGUAAUGCCUAGGAAUCUGCCCGGCAGUGGGGGAUAACGUCCGGAAACGGGCGCUAAUACCGCAUACUAUCAGAUGAGCCUAGGUCGGAUUAGCUAGUUGGUGGGUUAAAGGCUGACCAAGGCGACGAUCCGUAACUGGUCUGAGAGGAUGAUCAGUCACACUGAAACUGAGGCACGGUCCAGAGUCCUACGUGAGACAGCAGUGGGGAAUAGUGGACAAUGGGCGAAAGCCUGAUCCAGCCAUGCCGCGUGUGUGGAGAAGGUCUUCGGAUUGUAAAGCACUUUAAGUUGGAGGGGGUUACCAGCAGAAUAAGCACCGGCUAACUUCGUGCCAGCAGCCGCGGUAAUUC
rnacentral:rRNA from 1 species